rnacentral:rRNA from 1 species
GGACGAACGCUGGCGGCGUGCUUAACACAUGCAAGUCGAACGGAAAGGCCCUGCUUUUGUGGGGUGCUCGAGUGGCGAACGGGUGAGUAACACGUGAGUAACCUGCCCUUGACUUUGGGAUAACUUCAGGAAACUGGGGCUAAUACCGGAUAGGAGCUCCUGCUGCAUGGUGGGGGUUGGAAAGUUUCGGCGGUUGGGGAUGGACUCGCGGCUUAUCAGCUUGUUGGUGGGGUAGUGGCUUACCAAGGCUUUGACGGGUAGCCGGCCUGAGAGGGUGACCGGCCACAUUGGGACUGAGAUACGGCCCAGACUCCUACGGGAGGCAGCAGUGGGGAAUAUUGCACAAUGGGCGGAAGCCUGAUGCAGCAACGCCGCGUGCGGGAUGACGGCCUUCGGGUUGUAAACCGCUUUCGCCUGUGACGAAGCGUGAGUGACGAUAAUGGGUAAAGAAGCACCGGCUAACUACGUG